rnacentral:rRNA from 1 species
ACUCCUGCGGGAGGCAGCAGUGGGGAAUUUUGGACAAUGGGCGAAAGCCUGAUCCAGCAAUGCCGCGUGCAGGAUGAAGGCCUUCGGGUUGUAAACUGCUUUUGUACGGAACGAAAAAGCUCCUUCUAAUACAGGGGGCCCAUGACGGUACCGUAAGAAUAAGCACCGGCUAACUACGUGCCAGCAGCCGCGGUAAUACGUAGGGUGCGAGCGUUAAUCGGAAUUACUGGGCGUAAAGCGUGCGCAGGCGGUUAUGUAAGACAGAUGUGAAAUCCCCGGGCUCAACCUGGGAACUGCAUUUGUGACUGCAUGGCUAGAGUACGGUAGAGGGGGAUGGAAUUCCGCGUGUAGCAGUGAAAUGCGUAGAUAUGCGGAGGAACACCGAUGGCGAAGGCAAUCCCCUGGACCUGUACUGACGCUCAUGCACGAAAGCGUGGGGAGCAAACAGGAUUAGAUACCCGAGUAGUCCCAU